ACGGGAGGCAGCAGUGAGGAAUAUUGGUCAAUGGAGGCAACUCUGAACCAGCCAUCUCGCGUGAAGGAAUACGGCCCUAUGGGUCUUAAACUUCUUUUAUAGGGGGAUAAAGUGAGGCAUGUAUGCCUUUUUGUAGGUACCCUAUGAAUAAGCAUCGGCUAACUCCGUGCCAGCAGCCGCGGUAAUACGGAGGAUGCGAGCGUUAUCCGGAUUUAUUGGGUUUAAAGGGUGCGCAGGCGGCACGUUAAGUCAGCGGUGAAAUGUCGGGGCUCAACCCGGGCACUGCCGUUGAAACUGGCGAGCUUGAGUACGGAUGAAGUUGGCGGAAUGUGAUGUGUAGCGGUGAAAUGCUUAGAUAUGUCACAGAACUCCGAUAGCGAAGGCAGCUCGCCAGGCCUGCAUUGACGCUCAGGCACGAAAGCGUGGGGAUCGAACAGGAUUAGAUACCCUGGUA
rnacentral:rRNA from 1 species